CUUUUCUGGAUAGGAAAUAAAUGCUUUGAGGGCUCUUGGUUCCCAGCCUGUGCACAAGCAGCCCCUUCAGGAGCCCUGGUGCAGGAUUCUUGAAGCUGGUGAGUUCAGCUUGCCCAGGAAGGCUGAGGUUUUAUUCUGGGAGCACCUGUUUGAGGAAGCUCGCAGCAGCGGUGGGGGCCAUCAGCAGAUGAGACCACCGUGGGACUUGUUUUGCUGUGACAUUGUGAUGGGAGGUGGAGACACCUCGAGGAGAAGGUCGAAACAGACAACAGCAAUUACAGCAGUGCCACCUUGGACUUGAGAAAAUCCUGCCUCAGUUAAGGUAAACCUUCAGGAGGACCGUCCACCCUUCAAAUCUGUUUUGAUGUGUUUAAACUUCAUGAUACGGAGCACGGCCACUCUCAGUAGGUUGCAGAAAAAGGACAUAAAACCGUAAUAAGUCUUCGGAGGGGUCUGGCUGCCCGUGUUGGAGGGCUGCCCUGAUCCGGUGCGGUGUAGCCUGGGACCCGAGUGCUGUGAGAAGCCUGCUGGGGCCUCCCCGCUUCCCCUGGGAGCUGCAGCACAGAGCUGUCCUUGUCUGGGAUUACAUAGACUGUGGACCUUGUUCUCCUGUUUGUCUGCAAAUCAUUACCACAGUACUGGAGCAGUAUGAGCAGGGAAUAGAAGCUGAUGCACCGGGUACAGAGCCUCACGGUGCUCCGGCCACUGGACGCUGCACUUCCCUCCAUCCGGCUGGGUCUCAAGCUGGGAUCCAAGCUGGAUGGAAACUCAGCUGUGGAAACAGUCACGGGCAUGAGAGAGCAAGCAGAAGAGAAGUCUUCAGCUGAGAAAGAUGGAAAAUACUGCUCCCCGGGACACAACAGGAGCCGCUCAGCUGUGCUUCGUAGGCCUUGCGUUACCGACAGGAGGCUUCCUACCAGGCUGCAAAGGAGGAGGACGCGAGGUCUGUGUGUGCUCUGCCUGUGACACCCCUGUUAUUACUGUCACAUGCAGACGGCUGAUGCCUGCCCUGUCAGAGGCAGCCCAGGGUCAGGUGCGGUGCUGCGCAGAGAACCUGUCGGGUGUGUGAUAGCCAGGCUGCCCUUUGUGGGAGGAGGUUUAGAGCUGUUGCUUUUUGGCAUGCAUGUGGUUUUCUCCUCCAAAAAUAGCCAGCUAUCGAAGUGGGAGGAUUUCAGAGGAGGAGGAGGCUUGUUAGGGAGAGGAUUAACAGUGAUAACAUGGAUGGUCAUAUUUCAGGGCAAACACCUGUAAAUCAGCCUAAGCCUGUAAGUAGCAACCUAUUAAACUGGGUUCACCUCAGCAGCGCUUGCCCUGUGCCUGUUCAGGAAGGCUGGAACCAGCUGCCCAGCCCUGGGAGCACGGCUGGAGCUACAGACCCAGCCUCCUCCCAUCUUAUGCACCUGUGGGGAAACUACAGAUGUUUGCAGCUGACAAGGCAAAACACUUGGUGACAUGUAAAGGAGGAGGUGCAAUGGCCCCUUCAUCCUCUCAACACCUACUUAGGGGGAAAAAAAAGAAAAAAAAAAAAGUGGAAAUGGAGAAUGUGGAAUGUCAGCCCACAGCACAAACAAGCCUCAAACCCUCCUGAUCCCAGACCUUCCCUGCAGCCCCGGUGGUGUUCGAUGCAGCCCAGCCCCAUGCUGUACCGUGCCUUGCCCGACACGUGCCCGGAGACCACAUCCUUUGACUUUCUCCUUGUUCUUCCUCUGAAACUGGGGAUUAAAAGCAACGCCAAGACGUCACCUCUCUGCAAUAAGCAAGUUAUUAUAACGAAAUAAUAAAAUAUACACAGAAUAUAACCACA